rnacentral:rRNA from 1 species
UACGUAGGGGGCAAGCGUUGUCCGGAAUCAUUGGGCGUAAAGAGCGUGUAGGCGGCUCGGUAAGUCCGCUGUGAAAGUCCAGGGCUCAACCCUGGAAUGCCGGUGGAAACUGUCGGGCUAGAGUCCGGAAGAGGCGAGUGGAAUUCCUGGUGUAGCGGUGAAAUGCGCAGAUAUCAGGAGGAACACCAAUGGCGAAGGCAGCUCGCUGGGACGGUACUGACGCUGAGACGCGAAAGCGUGGGGAGCGAACAGG